rnacentral:lncRNA from 1 species
GUUCCUCUCUUCAACACAAGUCAAUACAAAUGUUUAAAUCUUUUUAAUCCUUUUAUUGAAUCUCCUUGUUUAAUUUGCUCUACUUUUGUGAAAAAUGGGAAUUAGAAAAAUUGGGAUUUCUCAUGCUAAAAAACUUGGACGAACUUUUUCUCCUAGAAAGGGAAGCAUUUCGACUGGUGUCAAUGAUGUUCCUAAAGGCCAUUUUGCAGUUUAUGUAGGCGAAGAACACAGGCGCUUCGUCGUUCCAAUAUCUUUCUUGAACCAUCCGUUAUUUCAAGAAUUGUUGCAUGGGCAGAAGAAGAGUUUGGAUAUGAUCAUCCCACGGGAGGCCUUACAAUUCCAUGCACUGAAGAUUAUUUCUUAAGUCUGACUGCUCUACUAAGUUCUUAGGUAAAUUACAGUUCAUUGAGUGUAGUGAUGUUAUAUGCUACUUAAGUUGCGAAAGUGGCAAUUUUGUAUGGUCAUUCAAUUUUGUAUGCAGACUACCUGCAAAUUCUUUUCAAUGUGGCUAGGUUAUUUUUCUUUUUAUUGUAGUUGUAAAUGGAUUAAUAUUCAAAUAUUUCCUGCCAAAGAAUUGAACAAUC